CCUACGGGCGGCAGCAGUGAGGAAUAUUGGUCAAUGGGCGAGAGCCUGAACCAGCCAAGUCGCGUGAAGGAGUACUGCCCUAUGGGUUGUAAACCUCUUUUGUCGGGGAGCAAAAGCCGUCCGUGUCCGGCUGUUAGAGUUCCCGAAGAAAUAGCAUCGGCUAACUCCGUGCCAGCAGCCGCGGUAAUACGGAGGAUGCGAGCGUUUUCCGGAUUUAUUGGGUUUAAAGGGUGCGCAGGCGGGUUGUUAAGUCAGCGGUCAAAUCGUGGGGCUCAACCCCAUCCAGCCGGUGAAACUGGGGAUCUAGAGUGUGCGAGAGGUAUGCGGAAUGCGUGGUGUAGCGGUGAAAUGCAUAGAUAUCACGCAGAACCCCGAUUGCGAAGGCAGCAUACCGGUGCACAACUGACGCUCAGGCACGAAAGCGUGGGUAUCGAACAGGAUUAGAUACCCGUGUAGUC
rnacentral:rRNA from 1 species